rnacentral:rRNA from 1 species
UACGGGGGAGCAAGCGUUGUUCGGAUUUACUGGGCGUAAAGGGCGCGUAGGCGGCGCAACAAGUCACUUGUGAAAUCUCCGGGCUUAACCCGGAGCGGCCAAGUGAUACUGUCGUGCUAGAGUGCGGAAGGGGCUACUGGAAUUCUCGGUGUAGCGGUGAAAUGCGUAGAUAUCGAGAGGAACACCAGUAGCGAAGGCGGCUCGCUGGGCCAUUCCUGACGCUGAGACGCGAAAGCUAGGGGAGCGAACAGG